CCCUUAGAUGUCCUGGGCCGCACGCGCGUUACACUGAUGCAUUCAACGAGCUUAUAACCUUGGCCGAGAGGCCUGGGCAAUCUUGUUAACGUGCAUCGUGAUAGGGAUAGAUUAUUGAAAUUAUUAAUCUUGAACGAGGAAUUCCUAGUAAACGCAGAUCAUCAAUCUGCAUUGAUUACGUCCCUGCCCUUUGUACACACCGCCCGUCGCACCUACCGAUUGGAUGGUCCGGUGAAGCCUCGGGAUUGUGGUUCUUGCCGCUUUAUUCUGGCGUGACCGCGAGAACUUGUCUAAACCUUAUCAUCUAGAGGAAGGUGAAGUCGUAACA
rnacentral:rRNA from 1 species